GCACGGGCCUGCCUCGCGCCCUGCGCGCUGGGCACUGCGCCCUGGCGGGGCAGCACCCCCAGUUCCCCGGCCUGCGGGAUGUGGCGCUCUCUGUGGACCUCACUCCUGGCCAAAUACGCUGCGGUAAGCGAGAGGUUGUGCUGAGCAGGGGAUCAGAGCGACUUUCUACCCGGGAAGAUGGAAGAAAGCUUUACAAUUACUUCAGCUCUUUUGAGGGAAUUGGAGGCUUCCAAGACCACUUUGACUGGUGGGCCAGAAAUCAGUUCUCUUCCCAGGGUGGAAAGCCCCUGUGGAUAGACCCUCAUGAUCCCAGUGUUCAACACAUUUUUAUUGAUGACAACAUCCGGCUGGAUGACACAGACACCAUUGUUCACCCCCAGGUGUUUUCAGAGCGGGGCAGCAGCAGCCCUCGGUGUGCUCCCACUUCAGAGCUGUAUGAUAUUUGCCUGGUGCAGACCCAUCUCCUGGAGGCCAUUGCUGAUGAGAACUAUUUCCUCCGCUGUGUGCAGAGGUGUGAGGAGAACUAUGACCGUUACCUGGCCUGCGUGGAGAAUGGCUCCCCGAGCCAGCUCUGGGACGGACAGUGACAUCACUUCAAGGGCCCAGCCCCAACCUGGGCUGUGGGGCUUAAAACUGGGAUGCUCCUUCCUUGCCGCCCCACACAGAUAAAGUCCCAGGCUGGGCUACUGCUUCGAGCUGUCCCCUCUCCUCUCCAACGCGUGAUGCGCCCGCUCUGUUGUACCAGGAACCUCCAGGCCCUCUCCACAAAACACAAGCGUCCUGGGAGCUUGUGUGAUGGGAUCCCUGGGAAGAAACUGCUUCCGCUGGGGUCCUUUCCUCAGCUGUGCUGUGAAGAGCUGUCUGCCACACUGGAGCCCCUCUGCCGGCAGUGCUACCUCUUGUGUCUGCUCUUACGCUGGGGUGGAGGCCCUGCGCCAGCCCCGACUGCUACCGCAGCACAAGCAGUCGUGCUGGUGUUCAGGCCUCCCCUGUUACUCCUGCCUCCUGCAGUGGCAGCUGGUUUGGAGUCGGUGCCACUGGGAAGUGCAGUGCUGCCUGCGGUGCCUGUUACUGGUUGCUCUACGGUGUCCUCCCUAGCAGAGCUAGUGAUUUGAUGUCACUUACAGCUGUUUUUAAAGCAAAUCUUUCUAGCUUGUUUUU